UAAAAUUUUUAACCCCUUAUUAAGUUCUUCCUUUGUGGCAAGUAUAAACUCCAUAAGAAUGGGACUUGUUUUGUCUGCCAGUAUAUUGCCAUUCCUAACAUGUUAUACACCAUAAGAA